UACGGGGGGUGCGAGCGUUGUCCGGAAUCAUUGGGCGUAAAGAGCGUGUAGGCGGUUCGGUAAGUCGGCUGUGAAAGUCCAGGGCUCAACCCUGGGAUGCCGGUCGAUACUGCCGGACUAGAGUUCGGAAGAGGCGAGUGGAAUUCCCGGUGUAGCGGUGAAAUGCGCAGAUAUCGGGAGGAACACCUAUGGCGAAGGCAGCUCGCUGGGACGUUACUGACGCUGAGACGCGAAAGCGUGGGGAGCGAACAGG
rnacentral:rRNA from 1 species